rnacentral:lncRNA from 1 species
CUUUAUUAUCUAAUUAGUUAAUCACUAAUAUUGCAAGCGUGGGUUGUCUGCCAGUUUUCAUCUUCUGUAGUCAACCUACCACAGGAGAAAAAGUAGGAGCAGUGCUGGCCAGCCAUGCCCAUUGGGCACAGGGGUGGAUACCACACAAGCCAUACUGCAGCGGAGAUGUGGGUGCCCAGGCGACACUUCGGCGCCAUUCCCAUCUACCUCCAAGAAGCCGCCAUCUUGGGAAGCGCUGCAGCCGCGGCUCGGAGCCGCGCCCAGUGCCGGCACCAGAGGGCGCCCUUGUACCAGGAUCCCGCCAGAGGCAUGAGGCGGCGCGCUCGGAAAGAGGUGAUGCGACCUCCCCAGAGGAAUGAGCAGUGUGGAGAAUCCAGUUCCAGGUGUUCAGCCAUGGCAAAGGCAGAAGCAGACACUGUCAGCAUGUUUCAGCCCCCUUGA